rnacentral:rRNA from 1 species
GAUGAACGCUGGCGGCGUGCCUAAUACAUGCAAGUCGAGCGAACAGACGAGGAGCUUGCUCCUCUGACGUUAGCGGCGGACGGGUGAGUAACACGUGGAUCACCUACCUAUAAGACUGGGAUAACUUCGGGAAACCGGAGCUAAUACCGGAUAAUCUAUUGAACCGCAUGGUUCAAUAGUGAAAGACGGUUUUGCUGUCACUUAUAGAUGGAUCCGCGCCGCAUUAGCUAGUUGGUAAGGUAACGGCUUACCAAGGCAACGAUGCGUAGCCGACCUGAGAGGGUGAUCGGCCACACUGGAACUGAGACACGGUCCAGACUCCUACGGGAGGCAGCAGUAGGGAAUCUGCCGCAAUGGGCGAAAGCUUGACGGAGCAACGCCGCGUGAGUGAUGAAGGUCUUCGGAUCGUAAAACUCUGUUAUUAGGGAAGAACAAAUGUGUAAGUAACUAUGCACGUCUUGACGGUACCUAAUCAGAAAGCCACGGCUAACUACGUG